rnacentral:rRNA from 1 species
GACGAACGCUGGCGGCGUGCUUAACACAUGCAAGUCGAACGGAAAGGCCCUGCUUUUGUGGGUUGCUCGAGUGGCGAACGUGUUAGUAACACGUGAGUAACCUGCCCUUGACUUUGGGAUAACUUCAUGAAACUGUGGCUAAUACCGGAUAUGAGCUCCUUCUGCAUGGUGGGGGUUGGAAAGUUUCGGCGGUUGGGGAUGGACUCGCGGCUUAUCAGCUUGUUGGUGGGGUAGUGGCUUACCAAGGCUUUGACGGGUAGCCGGCCUGAGAGGGUGACCGGCCACAUUGGGACUGAGAUACGGCCCAGACUCCUACGGGAGGCAGCAGUGAGGAAUAUUGCACAAUGGGCGGAAGCCUGAUGCAGCAACGCCGCGUGCGGGAUGACGGCCUUAGGGUUGUAAACCGCUUUCGCAUGUGACGAAGAGUGAGUGACGGUAAUGGGUAAAGAAGCACCGGCUAACUACGUA